CGCCUCCUCCGUGCAGCCGCCACCCUCUCUGUUUCCUCUCACCAAACCCUCACCCGAGCUCCUCGCCGUCUACCUCGCCGUCGCCGACACCAUGGCCACCCUCGGCCUCACCUCAGACGUGGAACGGGAUCAUGCCUUCCUCUUCUACCUCCUCGUCGUCCUCCCGAAGCUAAGCGCCCGCAGAAUCUCAACAAGCUCGUCGUCGUCGCCAACGUCUGCCUCGGCCACAUCGUCGUCCUCGUGUCCGGCUACCUCUCCGCCGCUUCUUUCUCGUCACCGACCACCCCUAGCAUUUGCUUCUUCCCGGAUAGGAUCGCGAAGUGGUGUUGUGAGAUACGACGAGUUCUCCGACAAGUUCUUCUGCAACUUUUCACAGGCGAGCCCACCUCCUUCACCUAUUUUAUAUUUUGCUCUCCCUCACAUUGCUAUCCUUAUGUUGCGUUUCCUUAUCGAGUCACGUGUCCUAUUCCACUUGUUUACCAUAAUAAUCCUAUAUGUAUCAUUCCUUACCCAUAGCCGUUGCUUGAUGUUUGAGCCUUGCGAGUCGUAGGCGUGUUUAGGAUCUGUUGUUUAUCUCGAUCUGUUAUCGGGAAUAUGUUGGGUUGUUGGGAGGUUAUCACAUGCUAUAUUAGUUUGUUGGAGAUACACAUGCUUUACUUAAUUAUUAACAACUAAAAUGGUAAGCAGAGGCAUCUGUGAGCCCCUUUGCGAAAGCAUCGGAACUUUGACUCACUAAUGUCCCCUAGGACCCGAGUUCUUGUUAUCUGUUCUGAGACUGAGCGCUUUAACCACACGUGGGUAUGUUUUUGGGUCUCCCCUCGACCACUGCCGGAAUCUACAGCUUUGUCCAGUGGCCACAACUAGUUUGCAAUGUUUUACCAUUUGUUGUUGCAUGCAUGCCAGCCUGUUACUUCUUUACUUUGGGAAGCCCCUGGGUGCCUUGUAUCCCUUGUUUCUGGUAUGCACGUAUAGGUGCGGCAUGAGCGUUUAUCGCGUGCUGAAGCGGGUCAUUCGCCCCAGUGUGUGUUCUGACCCUCGGAAGUCGUGGUCGCAAAUAGAUAAGUCCGCUUCGGAGAUACGGCCGGACUUCGAUACGGGUUUAACUUGGUUAGGUGGCUUCCUGGACAUUGUUGUCGUGAAGGAGAGUGCGGGUCGUGAUAUCCACCUGUCGCAAGUGGGUUGAUCGUGCGUGUGGGCACAUUUGGGCACCCCUGCAGGGUUAAAUCUUAUCGAUAAGCCGUGUCCGCGGUUAUGGACGACUUGGAGCUGUAUGACUCGAUUAUAGACAACUUACACCUUUUUACUUGUUGGUAAUAAUCUGAUAAUAACUUGCGUAGUAAUAUAACAUUACUACAACCGAUACCUAAUAAAACUUGCCCACCGUUGAGUGCCUUUUACAUUGCCUCUUCGCAAUUGUUGAAGGGGAUAUGUGUAAUCGGCUGGGUUAUGUUUGUGUAGUAUUUAUCUGUUACCUUGUGCGCUCUCUUAUCUUCUCUGAUUAGACGGAUGAUGUAGCGUGUCUCUAUUGGUUAUAGUUUUGCUGCCGCUAAACCUACCAUAUAGCCCCAGGCGAUAUAUAUCUAUACUCGCCCGGCGAGCAUAGCCAUUUCUAGUCUCGCUAAGUACGUGCCGGAGUUCGUUCCUUGGUACUUACUCUCGCCUUUCCUCUUUCUCUUUUGCUUCCUCCCUUUUGUCGGCAACCGAUGGCCCGACUUUGACAGGUACGAGAAGACGACGUUAGCAAAGUUACCCUUCCGGCUUGGCCUGGGCAGGGUUAUGGACGCCACUGGUUAUCCUCAGGACUCUUAGUCCAAUUUGUAUCUUCUUCGUACUCGGAUAUAUUUGAUCUUCUGUAUGAUUUGGAUCUUUGUAUUGUAUAUUUGUAUCUUGACUCGUUGGAGUCGUUGUUGUAAUAUAUAUGUAUCUUGUGGGCUCUAUUGUAA